AUACCGUGUGUUGCCAUUAGUUACACAGUGCAAUGCCCUCCCUGAUAACAGGCACAAGGCGUUCUUUUCUCCCCGUGUGACGUUGCUGAGAGUAGAUAAGAACACACCACAAUCUCCUGCUUAACUGGACCAAAGGUCUCUCUAUCGUCCGUUUGAAAUGGCAGCCAGUGAGGUCUUCGUUCACAUUAUAUGUUUAGAGCACUACUGUGGAAGGACGUUUGGAUCCAGAAUUGCCUCCAGUCACUUAGGAACGCACUGUUAAAACCGUGUUUAUGGAAGAUGAUCCUACUCGGCUACGAGUGAUCACCAAAGAAGAAGACUACUUUAAAAAUGCCCCCCAAAGAAUCCUGGGAAAUGUAGUUUGUGAAGGGUGCUGAGUUCUUAGGAGACCCCGCUGGUCGCCUCCCUAGAACUCCAGUUCCCAGAGUUCCUUGGGAAAAGUUCCCUCCGUUGUUAACUCAACCUGGGAAUUGUAGUACGGUACUGAGAGGGGAAUUAUGGGAUCUCAUAAGAACAAAAUUAGUCAUACAUAUGACUACCGAUUACAUCCCAGCCAACUGCCAUGAAGAUUUUUUGCCUUCUCUUUGCUGGACUGUUCUUGGUCUUCCUGCCCAAUUCAGGCAUAGCGGACUUUGUGACCCUGGGCUGCUUCGUCCGAGGCGGGAAAUGCGAAACGGACAUUUGCAAAGAAAAUGAAGAACAGAUCGGGAACUGCUCCAAAACUGAAAAAUUGUGCUGUAAGAAACCCAAAUAAAUGGUGUCUCCUGGAUCCCAGGGGACCUCCUUUACCUGAAGAUGUGGGCAUCAGAUCCGCACGCUGAAAGAUCAAUUAGGAGGAGGAGGAGGAGGAGGA